AGGAGCAACAGCCCUAGUGGCGGGGCCAGCUCUGGAAACCUGGAUUCAGCUCCGGCAGGAACUCUGGAGUUCUCCGUCUGCAGGGCCUGGAGGCUCCGGGGCGGG
rfam:Canis lupus familiaris chromosome 1, whole genome shotgun sequence.